GUUGGAGCAGCCCUCUUCCAAUUGGGCUCACUACUAUAUAUACGGCCUUGGAAGCUUGUUGACUGUUGUCGGGUCGCGCUAAUGCUGCUGCUUCUGCAAUCUGGAUAGUCUCCUGAAAGCUUCUCCUCCAUUUUUGCUGCAAUGGAGGAACUUGACGAGUCCGGCCAGUGCUAGAUUUGCUUGUUCGCUUUUCAUGAGCUCUUCUGCAAUUUCUGCUGGGGUUGCCUCCACUGCUGUUAUGAGCUUCUCGAUUUCAGGGAACAUAAAGUGACUGGUAAUGCCAAGGUAGUUGGAAGCAAGGAUCUUGAACCCAUCAGGCGUGCAAUAGGACAUGUGGAUGUGCAUGUCCAUUCGGCCUGGUCUCAGCAAUGCAGGGUCUAAUCUGUCUUUGUGAUUUGUCGUGAAUAUGAAUAUCCUCUCAUCACCACAACUUGACCAGAGUCCAUCGACAAAAUUAAGAAGGCCCGAUAGUGUCACCUAUCAAUGAGAAUGAUCAUCAUCAGUAUGGUAAUUCCUCAACUUGGAUAAUUGUACAAGGAUUAAAGCUAUAUGAUUCAACUUAAUUUAGUGUAGUUAGUGAAAAGAGGAAUAGCAAAGAGAUAGAGGAAGAUAAUGAAAAAAAUAAGAACUUGGUGGAGACGCUUGGGUUUGAUAUUAAUUAUAUGAGCCUUACAAAAGAAAAGAUAAGGUCACGGAUAGAAAUGAAUGGAAGGCUAAAAUUCAUGUAGUUCCAUAGUGGGAUAAAGGCUUAGUAUGUUGCUAUUGUUGUUACUUGUUAUGGCGAAAUGAAGAAUGAUCCUGCAAAUUUACCUUCUUGUCACCUUGGUUGUAUCCUGCGUCUUGUCGGUUUUGAAAAUCGCUGCUGCAAUCAAUGUCCUCUAUCACAAGAAUUGAUCGAUUUGAAGUAGAGAGCAAAGCCCUUCUAAGGUCUUCAUCGUAAUGGAUACUUGUGAGCUCCAUGUCGUAGACAUGGAAUUUGAGGUAGUUGGCCAUGGCAGCAAUCAAGCUCGACUUGCCUGUGCCAGGAGGCCCAUACAACAAGUACCCGCGCUUCCAUGCCUUGCCAACUCUCCGGUAAAAUUCUCUUCUCCUCGUGAACCUGUCCAAGUCCUCAAUUAGUUCCUUCUUGAGUUUUGGAUCCAUAGCCAACGUCUCAAAAGUGGAUGGAUGGUCCAGAUUGACUGAACUCCAUAACCCUGACAAUGAGUAGAGCUUCACCACCUUGUUUCCUUCUUUUAUGCCAUUUGAUCGUUCCAAGACAUGAGGCAAGUAAGAACUCAGUACCUUGUCCUUGUAUUUCUUAUGGUAGCUAAGCUCAAUUGAUCUCUGCUCAACCUUUUCUGCAGUGAAGCCACCUUCAUAGUCAUUGCUUGUCCUUUGUGUCUCGGUACAUAUCAUUUGCCAAACGAGCUCAAUACCUUCAAAAGUAUCGAUAAUCUUCUCCCCCUUGUUGAAUGUGACACUGAGGCUGUUUUCUCCUGGUGCUUUGGAUACCUUAAGCCGUGCAACCGUUGGGCUGAUCUUCGUCCGCAGGUAGAUUUCAGAGGCCUCAAACAUUUCAUUGAGAGAGAGUCCAUUGUAUUCAUCAAUCACAACAGUCCCCUGGCACGAAAUGUUUCCCAUGAGGCCCUGAAAUUUGGAUAGGAUUCUCUCUUGGAGUGGUCGGGGUAUGAGUUGAUUGGUGACAUUCUGGAGUUCACUCAGCAUGGUCCGAACCAGCAUGGAUGCUGCUGUAAAAGUGGUGUAUGCUGAUAGAAGUGAUGAUGAUGAAGGCAUGUUUGUGAAGGAGAACAUGGCUCAAGGCAAGCGGUUUUGGUGUUUGGAUAUUGUAUUUAGGAUUGGGUUGCUUGGGUGUUCUUGCCCAUGUUUGACAUGUUGAAUUUAUAGAACAGAUCAAAGGGCUGCAGCUGUAGCACUGGCUUGCAGUGGGGAAGGAAGCUCUUUUGAGGCAUAGACCACAAGACUAAUGUAGACCGUGUGCCACUGUCACCAAAGAAACACAUCCAUGAUACUGUUCUUAUAUGGGCUAAGUUCGCUGAACUGCUGCAGUUGUACAGGUGUCUGAGAUGUGUGAAUGGAUUGAAUAAUUAAUAAUAAUAAUAAUAAAAACUCAAUUGUAACUCUGCAUUUUCAGUGUAUUGUAGAACAUUAUAUUGCAUUUAACUCUUUAAAUAAUUAAUUGUAUUUAAAUUAAAGUGAUAUUGAUAUUCAAUAAGGUUUUUAGCAUUUGGAAUCACAAGUUAAGUCUUUCACAUCCAAAAUAUAUCCCUUUGUUUAUCCCUUUUACAAGUGAGCUGCUUAAUUAUAUAUAGCGUAGGGGAACAGAUCAACUGUGGACCUG